rnacentral:snoRNA from 1 species
AGGAGGAUUGAGAAAGUUAAGCAGCUGCAUUUGUUCUGCAUUAACUGGUUAUAACCUCCCAGAGAAAAAAAAAACAAGUGCUAAACUGCUUUACAUUUUCUGUAUGAAGUAGUCAUUGCAAUACUUGUGUACAUUUA